GCCUUACAAUUCCGUUGCCAUGUCCGGAAGCUGGUGCAAAUCCAGCGCGGUCGCGCCACUGUGAUCGGCCUUCGCGCCGAAAGUCAGACCUGGGCAUCGGCGCACAUCAAUCGCAUUUUCGGGGCGCGAAACCCCUGGAGAAAUCAG
rnacentral:sRNA from 1 species